GCCAGACGGCCGGCCCGUCAUCAGGGCUGUUUAUUAUCCAAGGAUCAUAGGGGCGAUGUGCCCUUAACUCUGAGCAGAAGGCGAGAGGGAGGAGGGAGAGGAAUGAACGGCGAGGAAGAAAUGAACAAGGAGAAGAGAGAACUGCUGCUUUCGACUGUCCAUGCAUCAUCACCAGCGAAGUGGCCUGCUCCGCCCACCACCACGGAUUUACUUCAACAUCGUGUAUUUUAGCAUGAACGAAAAUAGAAGCGCAAAGUUUCAAAGCAACUUUCAGUUUCACGGAAACUCAAACUCACCUUUUGAUUUAAACAAUAAAACGUCUAAUACAUUCCGAACAACUAAUAA